GACGAACGCUGGCGGCGUGCUUAACACAUGCAAGUCGAACGGAAAUGCCCUGCUUUUGUGGGGUGCUCGAGUGGCGAACGGGUGAGUAACACGUGAGUAACCUGCCCUUGACUUUGGGAUAACUUCAGGAAACUGGGGCUAAUACCGGAUAGGAGCUCCUGCUGCAUGGUGGGGGUUGGAAAGUUUCGGCGGUUGGGGAUGGACUCGCGGGUUAUCAGCUUGUUGGGGGGGUAGUGGCUUACCAAGGCUUUGACGGGUAGCCGGCCUGAGAGGGUGACCGGCCACAUUGGGACUGAGAUACGGCCCAGACUCCUACGGGAGGCAGAAGUGGGGAAUAUUGCACAAUGGGCGGAAGCCUGAUGCAGCAACGCCGCGUGCGGGAUGACGGCCUUCGGGUUGUAAACCGCUUUCGCCUGUGACGAAGCGUGAGUGACGGUAAUGGGUAAAGAAGCACCGGCUAACUACGUG
rnacentral:rRNA from 1 species